UGGAAGUCACACAUUGACCACUAACAACAGGAGAGAGGACAAAGAAAGGCAGCAAAAGACUAUUUCCAAUGCGAAAUAUGAUCAGCAGAAAGAACUUCCUUAAUCUGAGCAAACUUGAUGGAUGAAACCCACGUACAUCUCUCUCAUACACCUGUGUCUAGAAAGACGGAACGCCAAGUUUUGCAGCGGGAACUCAUUUGCGAUUUGAGCAUCUGUGGAUUUGAUAUCUAUGCGGGUCCUGGAACCAAGCCCCCAUGGAUACGGAAGGACAAUUCUAUCACUCAGAGAUUCUGAAUUCUGGACUUUGAGCUCAAUGCCAUGACUGAGGAAGACCACGGGGUUUUCUCUCUUAGAGGGGAGUGAACCCAGAGCUUUGAGUUGAGAUGGGGGUGCCAUAAGAUUGAAGUACUCUGAAAAACAGAGCUUAAAGGCUUUUAACAGGAAUCCUUGAUAUUCUUCAUUCCAAUUGUUCACCUCUACUGUAGGGCUCAGUAAACACUUAAGGAAGUUGCCGUGCACUGCAGCCUGCCGGAGACAUGAAGGAAUGUACGGGAGGAUAAUCGCAACAUCAUCAACCCAAUUCUCCAAGUAAUUUGCCAUGGGACAGGCACACCCCAUGUGUUUGGGAAGACAAUGGGAAGGUUCUGUUUUCUGCUCCAAGACUGAUUCAACCAGUUGGAUCUGGAAGGGGAUAAAGGGCUGUGUGGCUGCUUGAUUUUCAUUGUCUAGUGGCAGCCAAAAUUGGAAAAGAGAGAAGUGCAGACUUUAAAGACAAGCAGCGACAGCUCAUCAGCAGUCUAACAACACGACAGAUGACAGGCCCAGAGGCACACCCAGGGCCGCCAGCCCAUCACCCUGUGCAGGAUGUCAAAGAGCAGCU
ensembl:lncRNA LINC00347 long intergenic non-protein coding RNA 347